ACCUACGGGGGGCAGCAGUGAGGAAUAUUGGUCAAUGGUCGGGAGACUGAACCAGCCAAGCCGCGUGAGGGAGGAAGGUACAGAGUAUCGUAAACCUCUUUUGUCAGGGAACAAAGGCGGGGACGUGUCCCCGGAUGGGUGUACCUGAAGAAAAAGCAUCGGCUAACUCCGUGCCAGCAGCCGCGGUAAUACGGAGGAUGCGAGCGUUAUCCGGAUUUAUUGGGUUUAAAGGGUGCGCAGGCGGUCUGUUAAGUCAGCGGUCAAAGCCCGGGGCUCAACCCCGGCCCGCCGUUGAAACUGGCAGU
rnacentral:rRNA from 1 species